rnacentral:misc_RNA from 1 species
UCCUAGUUAACCUAGGCAGUCUCAUUAGAGUCCUCACCUUAAAUGUUAGCAACUAAUGAUAAGGGUUGCGCUCGUUGCGGGACUUAACCCAACACCUCACGGCACGAGCUGACGACAGCCAUGCAGCACCUAUAUAGAGGUCCUUACGGAAGAUAACAUUUCUACUAUCGUCCUCUACAUUUCGAGCCUGGGUAAGGUUCUUCGCGUUGCAUCGAAUUAAACCACAUGCUCCACUGCUUGUGCGGGCCCCCGUCAAUUCUUUUGAGUUUCAGCCUUGCGACUGUACUCCUCAGGCGGCAUACUUAACGCGUUAGCUCCGACACAGCUAGGGUUGAGCCCAGCUACAUCAAGUAUGCAUCGUUUACGGCAAGGACUAC